rnacentral:snRNA from 1 species
CAACUUAGCUGGCAGGGGAGAUACCAUGAUCACGAAGGUAGUUUUCCCAGGGUGAGGCUCAUCCAUUGCACUGCGGGUGUGCUGACCCCUGCGAUUUCCCCAAAUGUGGGAAACUCAACUGCAUAAUUUGUGGUAGUGGGGGACUGCGUUCGCGCUCUCCUCUG